UUCGGCAUGUUACAGGUUUGGAACUAAACUAAGUACUGUAUAUACGAUAAUGGAAAAAACAACAAAAGCUUUUCUUCUUCUAAGUUGGCUUCACAUACUCCUAUGUCUAUCCUGUCAGGUUCGUGUCACAGAGGCUAGAUUCCGUCACUUAGGUCAGUCUCUUCUUAUUCCAAAUAUCUCUUUCACAUAAAAAGAUUUACUAAUAUAAUAUGACUUGUGUGUUAAAAGGUAUAUGUGCAAAACCUUCCCCAUCGUGUGGAGAUUAUCAGGGAAGCCAUCAAGUUAAUGGACAACAAGAUAAGCCUUGUAAACGCAUUCCAAGACCACCUCCUCCUAGAGACUGCUAGCAACGUUAUAUCGUUAGGUUCGACCAAGA
rnacentral:lncRNA from 1 species